UCCCGGGAGGGCCGGGCUGGCGGGAAGCCGGGCGUGGAGGGGACGGGGGCCUGCGCCGCGACCCCGCCGCGCUGCCGUUGUUCCCAGGCGAUUGCUGUUUCGCGGCUCGGCGAUGCAGACCACGUAAAGGACAACGGAAAACGUCUCCCCGCUGGGGCCGGUUCUGUAACGUAUUGAGCGCUCACGUUCUGAAAAAAACCUUUGGAGCCUCUUCUACCUCCGCCGAGAAAGCCCAUCUGGAAGGAAACUCUAAACAGCUUCAAGUGUCACUUGGCUGACGUCACAGCCACCCGAGAGAGGCAGGAAGAAGUUGUACUUCUGCUGAAGAGAUCUUUUUCUUCUCAUACAGGCCACGUCUUGAAAAUCAAAAGUCAGGUUCAUUUCUUUGGUUUUGCCUAAUCCAAGAAGUUGUAAAUUAUGCUGAAGCCAGUUAUCCUGCAGCAUCAAAUGGGUUCUGAAUCCAAGUACAAAGAUGACGUUUGAAAAUGCUUUCAUAGCAGGAAUUGAACCGGGUACCUGUUAUUUUCAACCUCAGCCAAAAGCUUGUUUGUUGUACUGAUUAGAAGACUAUUUUGCAAAGGGCCCAAAAUGCUGCACCCCAAAGAUGUCAUUAAAUGCCGAUGAGCACACGGAGUAAAUAUCAAAAGUCAACCUGUCAUCUGUGGAGAACUAAAGACCUUUCAAAUGAAUGGAGGAUGUUCGUACUUUUGAACGUGAAUUAUGCCUGCCCCUUCUCCAGUCUUGUGGAUUCCUAGUGUCUACAGUGGAAAGAUCUGAGAAUCUACAUCAAAGGACAUUAAUACCGCCCACCAAUAUGAGGACAUGAAACCAAUCAGCAGUCCAGAAGACGUUUAGUACAGAGGUUCAAGCCUAUGGUUCUACUCUCGGCUCUGUCCCUACCCAACCUCGUGACCCUCCUAGGAAAUCACUUACCCUCUCUGUAACUCAGUGUCCCUCAUCUGCAAAAUAGAGAUACCACUUACCACGAACACUGGGUUUUGAGUCUCUUCCCAUUGGCAGAGGAUGAUUGCUUAAACCCAAAGAGUGGAAGCCCGGCUUAAAGGAUUUUAUUUGUUUGGUCAUAUUUGGAUUCCUGUAUUGAGAACAUACAAGUAUUUUUAUCAUAAUCAUUAUCCUUAUCAAUAUCUGGGUAAUAUAAACUGAGGCAAAGAGGCCAGGAAAAAUGAGAAUCAGUUCUUGCCUAUUUUUCACAAUUUAUAUUCAAUAAUGCUUAGGAAUUCCCAGGUGCUUCUCUCCAACUGCACUGUGUUUAGUUUUUAGGACAGCUUCUGUGCAAAAGAAAAGCACACCUCGAACUGGCUUCAACAAAAAAAUGGAUUUUAUUGAUUUACAUCACCACCAAGUCCAGAAGUAGACUUUGAGGUCAGCUUUGUUCAGGAGGCCGAACAGCAGACUCAGGUUUCUUCUUGGUUCUCUCUCUCUCUCUCUCUCUCUCUCUCUCUCUGCUUUCUGCAUUAUCUGCUUCCUCUUCUGGCUGGCUUCAUUCAGGGUGUUCAGGUGGCUCCGAGGAUGGGGCAUAUUUCCUCACCCAAGCCUUGCGAGGAAGACUGAUCAUCUUGUCCCAUCAUUCCCAGCUAGAAUCCUGAAACUCACUCAGAUUAGAUCGCCUUGGACCACAUGCAGGGACAACAACGAAAAGCACUAUGUGAUUUAGUCUCUGUCACCUGUCACACAUUUCACAGCUGGAGCUUGGGUAGAGUUAACUUCAGUAGCACCAAACAGAUACCUUCCUAGCAAAAGAAAGUCCCAUCCUCCCCCUCAGUGGUUUCUGAGACAGCUUUUUCUGAGAAAUAGGUGGCUAAAUAAAUACUAGCUUGCUAUUUUAA